GGGGUUGUGGUUCAGUGGUAAACUGCUUACCUAGCAUGCAUGAAGCACUGGGUUCAAUUCUCAGCACCACA
rnacentral:tRNA from 1 species